rnacentral:lncRNA from 1 species
CCACCCAGCCUUUGGAAAAUUAUUCAAUAUGUAUUUUUUUUUCUUUUAGGGGAUACUGAGGAUUGAAUCCAGUGUUUGGGUAUCCGAGGCAAACCGUUUUCCUCUGAACUAGAGUGGUACCUUGGUUUAUGAACUUGAUUUGUUUUACAAUUUGGGGGAAGAUGGCUGCAUUUAUGUUUGUGUGAGGAAGAUGACCAAGGUCAUGUUUGUCGCCAGCACAGAGUUUUCCAGUGAAAGCAAAAGUAUGCUCAGUGCUUUUGUUUGCAAACCAAAUUGUUUGCAGACAGAAGUGUUCAUGAAUGGAGAUGGAAUCAGUCGUGACAUCAUCAGUGGAACUUCUAGCAGAAUGAAGGAAAAUUAGGGGACCUCCUCCUCCUCUGAGUCUUCACAUCUUAACUCUGGUUGCAAAUUACAAUCACCUGGAGAGAUUUAAAACUACACAGAUUUCAGGGCUCUGCCCUAGACCAAUUAAAUAAAAAAAUCUGGAUGUGGAUGUGGAGC